rnacentral:rRNA from 1 species
AACGAACGCUGGCGGCGCGCCUAACACAUGCAAGUCGAACGAGAAUCCGGGGCAACCCGGUAGUAAAGUGGCAAACGGGUGAGGAAUACAUGGGUAACCUGCCCUUGAGAAGGGAAUAACCCGCCGAAAGGUGAGCUAAUACCCUAUACGCUUUGCUCUUCAUGGAGAGUAAAGGAAAGUCAAGCCGUGGGCUUGGCACUCAAGGAGGGGCUCAUGUCCUAUCAGCUUGUUGGUGGGGUAACGGCCUACCAAGGCUACGACGGGUAGCUGGUCUGAGAGGAUGAUCAGCCACACUGGCACUGAGAUACGGGCCAGACUCCUACGGGAGGCAGCAGUGAGGAAUAUUGCGCAAUGGGCGAAAGC